CCUACGGGAGGCAGCAGUGAGGAAUAUUGGUCAAUGGGCGAGAGCCUGAACCAGCCAAGUCGCGUGAAGUAUGACGGCCCUACGGGUUGUAAACUUCUUUUGUCAGGGCGCAAUUGAGUCCAAGUGUGGGCUUAGCGAGAGUACCUACAGAAAAAGCAUCGGCUAACUCGGUGCCAGCAGCCGCGGUAAUACGGCGGAUGCGAGCGUUAUCCGGAUUUAUUGGGUGUAAAGGGUGCGUAGGCGGAAUAUCAAGUCAGCGGUAAACAUUCGGGGCUCAAACCCGGCGUGCCUUUGAAACUGAUGUUCUUGAGUGGGCGAGAAGUAUGCGAAAUGCGUGGUGUAGCGGUGACAUGCAUAGAUAUCACGCAGAACUCCGAUUGCGAAGGCAGCAUACCGGCGCCCAACUGACGCUGAAGCACGAAAGCGUGGGUAUCGAACAGGAUUAGAUACCCUUGUAGUC
rnacentral:rRNA from 1 species